GACGAACGCUGGCGGCGUGCCUAACACAUGCAAGUCGAGCGGACGAAUCGAAAGCUCGCUUUCGAUUCGUUAGCGGCGGACGGGUGAGUAACACGUGGGCAACAAGCUCUGUAGACGGGGAUAACAACGAGAAAUCGGUGACAAUAACGGAUAACACGAAAUGUCGCAUGACGCUUCGUUGAAAGACGGCGCAAGCUGUCGAUACAGGCGGUGCCGGAGGCGCAUUAGCUAGUUGGUGAGGUAAAGGCACACCAAGGCGACGAUCCGUAGCCGGCCUGAGAGGGUGAUCAGCCACACUGGGACUGAGACACGGCCCAGACUCCUACGGGAGGCAGCAGUAGGGAAUCUUCCGCAAUGGGCGAAAGUCUGACGCAGCAACGCCGCGUGAGCGAAGAAGGCCUUCGGGUCGUAAAGCUCUGUUGUUAGGGAAGAACAAGUAACGCAUUAACUGGCGUUACCGUGACGGUACCUAACGAGAAAGCCACGGCUAACUACGUG
rnacentral:rRNA from 1 species